UACAGAGGUCUCGAGCGUUAGGCGGAAUCACUGGGCUUAAAGCGUGUGUAGGUGGAUGCCUAAGUACCUUGUGAAAUCCCACAGCUUAACUGUGGAACUGCUUGGUAUACUGGGUGUCUUGAGUCACUCAGGGGCGAGCGGAACAAAUGGUGGAGCGGUGAAAUGCGUAGAUAUCAUUUGGAACGCCAAAGGUGAAAACAGCUCGCUGGGGGUGCACUGACACUGAGACACGAAAGCCAGGGGAGCGAACGGG
rnacentral:rRNA from 1 species